rnacentral:rRNA from 1 species
UACGGGAGGCAGCAGGGGGAAUAUUGCACAAUGGGCGCAAGCCUGAUGCAGCCAUGCCGCGUGUAUGAAGAAGGCCUUCGGGUUGUAAAGUACUUUCAGUCGUGAGGAAGGUGUUAAGGUUAAUAACCUUAGCAAUUGACGUUAGCGACAGAAGAAGCACCGGCUAACUCCGUGCCAGCAGCCGCGGUAAUACGGAGGGUGCGAGCGUUAAUCGGAAUUACUGGGCGUAAAGGGCACGCAGGCGGUUAAUUAAGUUGGAUGUGAAAUCCCCGGGCUUAACCUGGGAAUGGCAUUCAAGACUGGUUAGCUAGAGUCUUGUAGAGGGGGUAGAAUUCCAUGUGUAGCGGUGAAAUGCGUAGAGAUGUGGAGGAAUACCGGUGGCGAAGGUGGCCCCUGGACAAAAGACUGACGCUCAUGUGCGAAAGCGUGGGGAGCAAAACAGGGAUUAGAUACC